rnacentral:snRNA from 1 species
AUUGCUUCUGGGCCUUUUGGCUAAGAUCAAGUGAAGUAUAACCUGCGUAAAAAUUUAUUCAUUGUAGAUGUACAGCUGGAUUUUGUUUACCAGACACAGUGUAUAGAGUAUGCCACAAUCUCCAGACAUACUCUCAUACCC